CCUACGGGAGGCAGCAGUGGGGAAUAUUGCGCAAUGGGCGAAAGCCUGACGCAGCGACGCCGCGUGAGGGAUGAAGGUCUUCGGAUCGUAAACCUCUGUCAGCAGGGAAGAACGGUCACUGUGCUAAUCAGCAGUGAAUUGACGGUACCUGCAAAGGAAGCACAGGCUAACUCCGUGCCAGCAGCUGCGGUAAUACGGAGGGUGCGAGCGUUAAUCGGAAUUACUGGGCGUAAAGCGCUCGUAGGCGGUAUGUCAAGUCAAGGGUGAAAUCCCCGCGCUCAACGUGGGAACUGCCUUUGAUACUGGCAGACUGGAGUGUGUGAGAGGAUAGUGGAAUUCCAGGUGUAGGGGUGAAAUCCGUAGAUAUCUGGAAGAACAUCAGUGGCGAAGGCGACUAUCUGGCACAUAACUGACGCUGAGGAGCGAAAGCGUGGGUAGCAAACAGGAUUAGAUACCCGAGUAGUC
rnacentral:rRNA from 1 species